rnacentral:rRNA from 1 species
ACAACUUUCAACAACGGAUCUCUUGGCUCUCGCAUCGAUGAAGAACGCAGCGAAAUGCGAUAACUAAUGUGAAUUGCAGAAUUCAGUGAAUCAUCGAGUCUUUGAACGCACCUUGCGCCCUUUGGCACUCCGAAGGGCAUGCCUGUUUGAGUGUCA